rnacentral:ncRNA from 2 species
AGGCACUGCGCGGGAGAGCGCGGGCGAACCUUUCAGGUUCGGCCCGCCGCCGAAGGAGCAACCGCCCCGGAAUCUCUCAGGCAACCGGACCGCGCAGGGCUG